UCGGUAUUUCCUCAUACUGUUCAGCCGAUUGAAUCGGUCAACGGAAGAUAUACUCUAUAUGGCAUCUCCUCCCUCAUUUUGGUCGCCAUAGUGUUGCCUUCAACCACUCACGAUCGCCAUCUCUCUCUAAAAAUACCCUAAAAUCCAUAACCACGCUGCCAUCCCUCUAUUUAUGUCGAGAAAAAAUCACCUUAAACCCUAAAUGACGUUGUCAUCUCCACCACCAUCAUUGAUAUUAUAGAUUACAUCUUUUUUUCUUAUUUAUGUUUUAUUUGGAUUUUCAGGACUCAAGAGACGAUGCACGACCAUCACCGCCCUCUGUUCCGGUCGUAAUCCUCCAAGUAUGAUUUUACAUAAUCUUCCGAUCACCUUCUUCCUCUCUAUUUUCUUCACAUGUUUCGGUCACCACUCACCACCACACACCACCCUGUUGUCCGUUUAAAAAUUGUAGACACUACCCUAAUGCAAAUAAGCUUUUAACCUAUUCUGUGAAGUGUUUGUUUGUUUUUGUAGUUGUUUUGUUUUGAAGAACUAGGCAAGGCACCCCAUGUGUUCGAUGGAAUGCCCCAUAUAAGAUGCACAUUCUUAUUAUGCUCCAUCUCUUCUCAUUCUCAUGCUCAUGGACUUCAAAAAAGAGUUACAAACUCAUGGUGUUCCAAUAGGUUUGAUUUUAUUUUCUUUUUAUCGCAAGUUUUUUUUCCUAAGUCUGUUGUGUUAUUGAGACUGGGAGAUAUUCCGUUUUUACUUCAACUGAAUCAAUAGGUUUGAUUCAGUUAUUAAGACUGGGAGAUAUUCCCUUUCUCAA